rnacentral:rRNA from 1 species
AUGAAGAAUACAGGAGCAUCAUCUAGUCAAGCAAACUUUAAUCCAACUCUGGAACUACCCACUCAUGAAAAUUGUGAACACACGCAUGUGGAGAAUGAUAGUGAAGUGGCUCCACGAAGGAGUAAGAGACCAAGGAUUGAAAAAUCCUUUGGUGAUGACUUCAUUGUGUAUCUCGUGGAUGAUGUGCCAAAGUCCAUUUCAGAGGCAUAUGCAUCUUCUGAUGCAGAGUACUGGAAGGAUGCAGUCCGUAGCGAGAUGGAUUCCAUCAUUGCAAAUGGGACUUGGGAGAUCACUGACCGUCCAUUUGGUUGCAAACCAAUUGGAUGUAAAUGGAUCUUUAAGAAAAAGCUUAGGCACGACGGUACUAUUGAAAAGUACAAGGCAAGGCUUGUGGCAAAGGGGUAUACCCAAAAAGAAGGCGAGGAUUUCUUUGACACUUACUCACCCGUUGCGAGAUUAACCACUAUCCGGAUGCUGUUGUCAUUGGCUGCCUCAUAUGGUUUCCACGUUCAUCAAAUGGAUGUGAAAACGGCUUUCCUUAAUGGCGAGCUAGAUGAGGAGAUCUAUAUGGAGCAGCCCGAUGGUUUUGUAGUACCCGGACAAGAAGGCAAGGUGUGUAAGUUGAUGAAAUCUUUGUAUGGCCUCAAGCAAGCGCCAAAGCAAUGGCACGAGAAGUUUGAAAAAACCUUGACAUCCGCAGGCUUUAUUGUAAAUGAAGCCGAUAAAUGUGUUUACUACAGAUUUGGUGGGGGUGAGGGUGUGAUUUUAUGCUUGUAUGUUGAUGAUAUACUCAUCUUUGGAACAAGCAUUGCUGUUGUAAAAGACUUAAAGUCAUUUUUAUCCCAGUGUUUUGACAUGAAGGAUUUGGGAGAGGCUGAUGUAAUUCUAAACAUUAAAUUGAUCAAGGGUGAGAAUGGGAUUGCUCUUACGCAGUCUCAUUAUGUGGAGAAAGUCCUAACCCGCUUUGGGUUUAUGGAUUGCAAAGAGGCUCCCACACCUUAUGACCCUAGUCUAAAGCUUAGAAAGCAUGAUGGACAAGGGAAGGAUCAAUUGAGAUACUCCCAAAUUAUAGGAUCUCUUAUGUAUCUGGCUAGUGCCACUAGACCCGAUAUCUCAUAUGCUGUUAGUAAAUUAAGCCGGUUUACUUCUAAUCCGGGAAAUGAUCAUUGGACAACACUUGAGCGUGUAUUGAGAUACUUGAAGGGAACCAUGUCUUAUGGGAUUCACUAUACUGGGUACCCAGCGGUACUUGAAGGGUAUAGUGACUCUAACUGGAUCUCAGACGCGGAUGAGAUCAAAGCCACAAGUGGAUAUUUAUUCACCCUUGGUGGUGCUGCUGUCUCAUGGAGAUCUUGUAAACAAACUAUUAUAACAAGAUCAACCAUGGAGGCAGAAUUAGUAGCACUUGACACGGCCACUGUUGAGGCGGAGUGGCUACGUGAGCUCUUAAUGGAUUUACCAGUAGGCGAGAAGCCUAUUCCGGCUGUCCUCAUGUACUGUGAUAACCAAACAGUUCUCACAAAGGUUAAAAGUACAAAGGACAAUAUGAAAUCCAGAAGGCAUGUGAAACGACGCCUGAAAUCCGUCAGAAAAUUAAGAAACUCCGGAGUAAUCGUUGUGGACUAUGUCCACACCUCGAAAAAUCUGGCAGAUCCCUUUACUAAGGGUUUAUCACGAAACGUGAUUGAAAAUGCAUCAAGGGAAAUGGGAAUGAGACCCAUGUGA